ACUAAGCCUAGGCCUUGACAAGAUGAAGCUGGCGAGCCCCACUUAGCGUGCUCUGGACUGCUGUGCUGGAGAAAUGACAGGGUCUUAACACCCCCGAGCAUUCAUAAUCACCUCUGAGCUGCACCCCAUCCCGCAGCCAGUUGAUGCUCUGCACAUCAUCGCGAAGCCGACAGCGAAGCUGUAGCAGGUCGCCAGGGUGGACCAGGAGAGACUCCACUUCCACAGGGACUCCCCAGGGCUGAGCUGCAGCAGCCACCCACAAGGGCCAGGAGGAAGAGCCAAGUGGAGAAAGGAGGAGGAGAAAGGGAGUUAGACAGCAGGUAAGCUCUCAGCUGCAGUUCCAGUGCCUUGCCUGCCCGUGUGCUGCCAUGGUUGCCACCAGGAUGGUCGCGGACUCACCCCUCUGAAACGGAGUUUACCAUCUAGUCCUAGAACUGGCAGGGAUCUCAGGUCUAACCACCAUCUGGCCUCCUUCUUGUGUCAGGGUCUCACUUUGCAGCCCUGGCUAGCCCAGAACUCACAGAGGUCCACCAGCUUCUUCAUCCUCCAUGCUGGGGUUCAAGGAGAGCACCAGAGGGGAACAGAACGCACGGCUGAUUAAAAAUAGCUGCUGCGGACUAUUCCUUCCAUUCUUAGUGGUUUAUGGUUUCGCCAAAAGGAGAAAAACAGCCUGGAUUUGACCCUGAAGGAAAACAGCAAGCGUCCCUUCCGCCUAUUGAUCCGAUUUCAUUUCCCCUCAAGUGAUCUCACUGAUUAAAUAUUUUGCUGCUCUGUUUACAUAGUCGCUGUCUUCAUCAAAAAAUCUUACCCUAGAUAUAAAGUAAGACCCAAGUCCCUCUUUCUUUUUUUUCCCCCCCUUUCCCCCCUUUAAUUUUUUGAGGCAGGGUUUCUCUGUCUAACCCAGGAUGUCUGGGAACUCACUCUGAAGACUAGGCUGACCUGCUGGGAUUAAAGGCAGGUGCAACCAUUGCUUGGCCCAAAUCCCUCGCAGUCAAUAGGAGACAGCCAUUAAAGAAAUCCUCGGGGGCACACCUGUCUGUGGAGACCGCCAAUGCAGCCCACUCGUGACACAGGAAUCAGCAGAGCUGGAACAGCACCGUAUGGUAUAAGAUCACUUCCUGGGGUUGUAAGAUGGCUCACUUGGCAAGAAAACUUCCUGAAAAGCCUGACUUGAGUUCUGCCUCCAGGACUCCCGUGGUAGAGAGUGGUAGAGAGAACUGACUCUUACAAACUAUCCUCUGACCACCACAUGUGCACUAUGGCAUAUACACAUGUCCCUGAACACGUGCACGUGUGCUCGAGUGUAUGUGUGUGCACACGCACGCGCACACACACACCACUAAUAUAAAAUAAAUGCAAUUUUAAAAACUUA
rnacentral:lncRNA from 1 species